rnacentral:rRNA from 1 species
CCUACGGGUGGCAGCAGUGAGGAAUAUUGGUCAAUGGGCGGGAGCCUGAACCAGCGAAGUAGCGUGAAGGAUGAAUGCCCUACGGGUUGUAAACUUCUUUUAUAAAGGAAUAAGGUGAGGCACGUGUGCCUUUUUGUAUGUACGCUAUGAAUAAGGAUCGGCUAACUCCGAGCCGGCAGCCGCGGUAAUACGGAGGAUCCGAGCGUUAUCCGGAUUUAGUGGGUUUAAAGGGAGCGUAGAUGGGUUGUUAAGUCAGUUGUGAAAGUUUGCGGCUCAACCGUAAAAUUGCAAUUGAUACUGGCAGUCUUGAGUACAGUUGAGGUAGGCGGAAUUCGUGGUGUAGCGGUGAAAUGCUUAGAUAUCACGAAGAACUCCGAUUGCGAAGGCAGCUUACUAAACUGCCACUGACAUUGAUGCUCGAAAGUGUGGGUAUCAAACAGGAUUAGAUACCCCUGUAGUC